GAAAUGCUAAAGUGCAAAUGUAGGGUUUUAUUUAUUUAUUUAUUUAUUUUUAUUUAUUUUGAGACAAGGUCUCACUCUGUCACCCAGGCUGCAGUGCAGUGACACCAUCACAGCUCACUGCAAACUUGAUCUCCUGGACUCAAGCCAUCCGCCCACGUCAGCCCCCCAAAGUGCUCAGAUUAUACGCAUGAGUCACCACAUCAGACCCUGCAAAUGUAGAUUUUUGAAAAAACAACUGCAACAUUUUAGCCCUUUUUAAAAUCAGGACCCCUAGGUCUUUCCCAAUAUAACUAACCAGCCAGUGAUUCCUCACUCACCUACCUUUUUUUUUUUUUUUUUUUUUUUUUUUUUUUUGAUACGGAGUCGCACUCUGUCACCCAGGCUGGAGCGCAGUGGCGCGAUCUUGGCUCGAUGCAACCUCCGCCUCCCGGGUUCAAGCGAUUCUUCUGCCUCAGCCUCCCGAGUAGCUCGGACUAUAAGUACCCGUCACCACGCCCGGCUAAUUUUUGUAUGUUUAGUAGAAAUGGGGUUUCGCCGUAUUGGCCAGGCUGGUCUCGAACCCCUGACCUUGCUAUCCACCCACCUCAGCCUCCCAAAGUGUUGGGAUUACAGGCAUGAGCCACCGCGCUCAGCCCACUCUCUUUUAAAUGCAGAUCUUCUGUGGGAGGAUUAAGUCACUGAGCCCACAGGGAACUGUGCUGGGAGUGGAAGUGGAGGGUGUGGAAAGCCGGUGGAAAACAAAUCUGUGGAUAGCCUGUAGGGCAGAUGCCUGAGGCUUGGGGAGACUGGGAAAGCAGGUCUCUAAAAGGAACUUCAUCCUUUUUCUCCUAGGCCUCAGAUGAUGCUAGAGUCCUGCCAGAAAUUGCAAAUGAUUCUGGCUCACUUUUGUAUUAGCGUAGGUGCGUAGCCCAGAGUCUAGAAGAGCAACAACAACGACAAUAAAAUUCAGUCUGUCCUUGAGGCAUUUUCAUGAGAUAAUAUUAAAUAUAUAAUUAAAUACUACUCAUUGUUUUUUCUCACAAAUAUAUACCCACCACCUACCAGGAACUGUCCCAGAAAUUGAUGAGGAAAAAAUGAUUUUUACGCCAUAACUAAUCAUACCGUAAUAUGCACUAGAAUAAGCAAAGAACGUAAAAUAGUAUAUCAUGGGGACAUUCGAAUUUAUAAUCCUAGGAGUGACAUGUAAGCUGGGCUUGAAAGAAUAACCAUAAUUUUGCUGAACUAAUAAGUAGGUUGUGGAAGAGAGUGCUAGCUGAUUAGGAAAACCUCUGCUCUCCUAAGCACGCAGUUAAACGGUGUUUUCCAUACGUUUUUUGCCGUUAAGUGUGGUCAUGUGACUGAGUUCUAACCAAUUAGAAUGAGACGGCAAGGGAUGUGUAGCUUUUUCAAUCCUGGCCAUAACAUUCUUCUUCAUGCGCUUCUCAAUGUCCUUUCUCCUUUCAUUAGGUAAAAUGGAGAUGAUCCCCAGGGCCAUCUUGGAAGCAGUUUUUGAAGUUGGUAGAGUCUCGGGCCCGCUUAACUGCUGAAAGAGUAGGAAGGGGUCCGUUUCAUUAGCACGUUCAACCAAAAAGCGCUGUUAGGUGAGCAAAAACAAACCAGUUGUGUCUGAGCCAACACCCGUUUGUCUAUGGGUUGUAGCAGUUGGUCCACCUAAUCAAGGAAGUGCCGAGAGCACAGGACAUGAAAAGACACAGCGCUAAGGUACAUGGCACGUUCACAAAGGUACAGGUUUCCUGCACCACAAGGUUCCUUUCACUUACAAAAAAAUUUUUUUUAUAUUACACCAUCUUUAUUUGUACCUUCAGUAAGAACAGUUUCAGCAUCAACUAAUGAACAGUAGCCAAACCAGAGAGCAGUCAAAAGUGUUUUAAAGGGAGCAGCAUCAGCUGAUGUUCUGCCAAGUCUCUGGGUGUCCAGGACCAUGGUCCCCCGGCACUUCCAGGCCCCUGUGGGCUGCAGGUGGAUCCCCAGGAGCCAAAGGGCCUCUCAGGAAAGGGUGGAACUUGGCCUCGCAGUCAGCUGGCUUCUGCCUAUUAUGGUCAUCUUCUUUCCAGAGGUCUUGCUAUCUCAGUGGACAUGGCGGUCAUCCAGCCGUCCUGGGCUGUUUUCUCAUAGAAGAGGAUCUCCCUCUGAAAACUGUGUCAUCCUUCAAUUCCUGGGCCAAGUCUGGGGACACAUCUUUUCUUAAAGCCUGCUGAUAUGACGAGCAGUUCCCAUUUUCCUGCACUUUACGAAGUCUCUGAGGUGCAAGCAGUAGACAUCCUUCUCCAUGGACUCCCCCUGAGGCUGCUUCAUGUGUUUUCAGGGCAGUUCAGGCAGAUCGGAAACCACUGGCUGCAGCUUCGGGAUGUCCCUCUCCAGCUGUGCCCUUGAACCCUGCAGAGAGACCUGCUCGCUGAGCAGACCUUGGACUUGUGCUGUGAGUUCUGUACUCCUUUGGGUUUCUUCUCACAAUCGUAUGUCUGCUUUACCAGUCUUUCCCUCGGGACAUUCGAAGGAAGCACCUAAAUUACCAUUGUCAUCCAUGCUUUCAGAGGGACUUGCGGCCACGAUGCUGGGGGACCACCCUGUUCUGCUUCCCUGUUCCCCUCCACUGCCAAGUCCUCAUUUUCCAUGUCGUCUUUCCUGGUGCAGAUGAAGGGUGCUCAGCAGAGCGUGAGCCACCAGGGAAGCCACUCGCCUACUCCAGUUCGAAUAUUGGGGACUUGAGGCCUUCUUGUCUUUUUUGUGUGUGUGUGGCGUCUGAUUUACAACUUCUUGGUCGGGCAGCUCUGCGGGUUGCUGAUGGUCCAUGCUGUCAUUCACAUCGUCCGUGGUGUGCACUGGAAGAUCUCCAUGCUGUGAAGCGUGUAGGAUGUGCUUCACAUCAGUCACUUGGGGAAGUUCAGGAGGCUGCUUUUUCAUGCUUUUUUCAGAAGCUCACCUAGGUUAGGUCCUGAUCGAAAAACCUGCUCAUUUCCAUUAGAACCUUCAAGCAGAGUGUUUGGAGCAAUCAAGGACUGGCCCCAGCAUGGAUAAUAGGUAGCUACCACAGGUGUCGGCUGCUGGCUGCAUCUUGGCGCAGGCCUUUCUGUGGGCCUCACCUUAGACUGAAGCCCUUUGGGCCAGCCCUUCCCUCCUUCUCACUGCGUGUCGUCUCCUGACCAGAGAGGCCAUCACAGCGGUGCACGCCCAGCUCACCCAGAGUAUCCCUAGGGUCGCUGGCACUGGUCCCAGGAUUCUGUACAUCACUAAUUACUGCUGCCCACAGGUGGGCCAGCAGCAGUUGAGGAGGCAUUUCGUGGUGAGCAGCAGGUCCUUCGUGGCUCUUGAGGGCUCCACAGCUCUUCCUCUUUUCUCUACUGGUAUGUGGGCCACAACUGACCACUCAGAACCCUGCAGAGUGUUCCACCUCUAACACAAACAAGGGCUCGCCAACCAGGGUAAACCAUCCAUUAAGCUGGGGGAGGAAAGGCACCGCAAAUUCUAGAAAACUGUGUCCCUGAUUUUGCUGUGCAAAUAGAAAGUGACAUUACUUAACACAGUGCCUUGGAAGAGGGGAAAGAGUUCACGGCAAUCCCCAGCUCAGGCCACUCCAGGUCCCACCUGGCCUUACAGCAUAGCUAGAGGGUCAAAGCCAGUCAAAGCCCCGUGUCCACGCCUGAUCCUCUCAGGGCAGCGUGAUGGCCCGUCCCUGGUGGGGCUCAUUACCCUGAUUUCAAGUUUCCUUCUGCUACAGGGAAGCCUGGUCCCGCCUACAAAGAGACUGUCUACCUUGCUAGAUUGAACUAUAGGACUAUGUUUUCUUCAUCUCUGUAACCCCAGCAGCUCUCCAGAGACCCUUAUACACUAGGGGCAUGGUCAUUGCUUGUCUUGUUUUCUUGUUGACUCUAGACUGACUGAAGGCACGUCGCUUUCCCCUCUAGAUCUCCAUAUUCAGAUCUGUGAAUGACAGUAAGUGGGUGAAGGCCCCUCUAGCUUUAAAACCCCUCCAAUACAGAGAGAACACUGAAACCGCAAGCAGAAGCUGAGUGUGGUGAGUGGAGCAUUUUCCCUGGCAUGAUGGAGGGGACCUAUGGAUCUGGCUAUGAGGGUGGCAUCUGGCCACUUGAAUGGCUCUGCAGAGCUGGACCCUAGUUUUCAAAUCAGACUCAAGAAUGAUUUUAGUGUGGGUGGUUUUGUGGGGCAUAUAUUGUUUGAGACUUUGUUAUUGACACAACAGCUUCUGGAAGUCUUUUUGACAGAGAGUAUGCGCAGGUGCGGCCUCCAUCUGCUCGGCAGCCACUGUCUGGUGACGGUGAGCGCUGAGAGCUGGAUGGUCCUGUUAGAAAGGCAGCAUGCCAGCCUCCGGUGAUGAGCAGAGUGACCCGACCUUGUCUCUCCUUCCCCGUGGAGCACUGCAGGCUCUUCCCCAGACCUGCUUCUAGGCUUCCCUUCACCCGCUCCCACCAGGCAGCUGAGGCCACUCUAGGAUUCCAUUUUUAGUUGUACUUUUUUUUAAUUGAUCAUUUUGUGAGCAUUUUUCUCUCUAAUGCAACAGAACUAGCACAAGUCCUUAAAAAUGUAGGAUCUCUCAGCUCCCACAAAAACACAGAUGAUGGCCUAUGUAAUUCUCUACAUAUUUAAAUUGUUAGCUCUAAAAAUAGAUUCAGAGAAAGGGUGGACACAUGUUCCAAUUUUCUCAUAACAGUCCUGGGUUGUGCCUGUUAUCCUGGCAUAGUUAUUAAUCCUGUCCCCUUUCACUCUCAGACUCUCCUGGUUUGGAGGAUAAUUUCAUUCUAUUCAAAGAGGAAAUCUACAAAAAGGUGUCAUCAUCUAACCUGUACUCAUAUAAACAUUUUCCAGUCUCACGGUUCUGUGUACCUCUCCAAACCCCUCAAUCUUCUAAUCAUUUUGUGUAUUAUUUAUAGGAAAAGAGCACCAGCUAAAAUAUCUUGCCCUUGGAUUUCUUCAGCCAGCUGCUGAAGUAAUUUGUCUUAGUCUUUACUGAAGACUGAAUUGUAUCAUUAAGACUUUCUUCUAAGUCCUGUUAUUUUGACUUUUUGACUCACUCUGUGCCCUCUGAUACAUAAAGUAGCAAUAAUUUGUACAAUGAACCAUUGUAUUUGUUCACAAGAAAUUCUUCCUGUUCCUCACAUUUCUAUUCAUUUUCCUGAAGGUAUGUAUUUGAAAACUUGAAAAAUUGCCUGGCCCGGUUAUAGUUUAAUGGGAGCAUUUAAACAUACUUUUCCUACAAAGCUUAUCAGUUAGUUACUUAACCUUUAUGAAUAGGUUAAAUAUUUUCCACAGUAUUUAUAUAAAUAUGAUACUUGGUUUCAAGUUAAAUCUAAUAAAAAG
rnacentral:lncRNA from 1 species